UACGUAGGGUGCAAGCGUUAAUCGGAAUUACUGGGCGUAAAGCGUACGCAGGCGGCUUUGCAAGACAGGUGUGAAAUCCCCGGGCCUAACCUGGGAACUGCAUUUGUGACUGCAUGGCUAGAGUUUGUCAGAGGGGGGUGGAAUUCCACGUGUAGCAGCGAAAUGCGUAGAUAUGUGGAGGAACACCGAUGGCGAAGGCAGCCCCCUGGGAUGUGACUGACGCUCAUGUACGAAAGCGUGGGGAGCAAACAGG
rnacentral:rRNA from 1 species